GACAGAGGUGCCAAGCGUUAGGCGGAAUCACUGGGCUUAAAGCGUGUGUAGGCGGAUUUGUAAGUACCUUGUGAAAUCCCAUGGCUCAACCAUGGAACUGCUCGGUAUACUGCGAAUCUUGAGCCACUUAGGGGCGACCGGAACAAGCGGUGGAGCGGUGAAAUGCGUAGAUAUCGCUUGGAACGCCGAAGGUGAAAACAGGUUGCUGGGGAUGUGCCGACGCUGAGACACGAAAGCCAGGGGAGCAAACGGG
rnacentral:rRNA from 1 species